rnacentral:ncRNA from 1 species
AUCCCGCGCAUAUCCGGGUCACGAUAUGCACCUCCCUGUUGGACUCGGCCGGGCCAGUUGCCCGGCCUUUUUU